UCAGGACAUAGAAUCGAGGCAUACAAUCUCGGCAUCCAGGCAUUUCAGCAUCGGCAUCUUCGAAUCCUCUCGAUUUAGGACCCACUCCUUUGUUCAACCAAUUUUUAUAUUAAUUCUUUUAGUGUUUUGAUUAGAUAUGUGCUCUGAACAUGUUCCUUAAAUGCAUCUUCUUUAUUCUUUUACAUUUAUAAACCUUAUCUAUUCCUUGUUCUCAGCAUUUGCAUUCAAUAAAUGACUUUCGUCACCUUCAGGUGUCGGCUAGUAUGUGCUUAUCCUGAUAUUCAGGGAAUAUCGGGAUCGAGGCGUGUCAAUAAUCCUCAUCCUUUCCCCAACCUUCAUCAUAAACCUUAAUUUAUUGGGUUUUUCGUUAAUAAGUUUGAUUGGUUUUCGGCAGGAAACGAGCUGAGUUUGACGCAUCGGUUCCCGACGCUCCGACCAGACCUGAGAAAUUUGCUCAAAGGUAACAUUUUAUUGAUUGUUUUGCGAUGAGUGAAUUGGGUUUUCAGAAAUGCUCGCAAUUUGUUUGUGUUUUUGCCUGAAAGGUACACUGAGAUACUGGACGACUUGAAUAAGGAUCUUGAGAGUCACGGUGGCCCGCCGGAUUGCAUUCUUCUUUGCAGACUUCGGGAGCAAGUUCUUAGAGAGUUGGGAUUCCAAGAUAUAUUCAAGAAAGUCAAGGAUGAAGAGAAUGCCAAGGCAAUGUCCCUGUUUGAGAAUGUAGUGGAUCUUAAUGAGAUCUUAAUGAUGCUAUUCAAGAUGAAGUCAAGUGGGUAGAUAAUAUGAUUAGAGGAAUUUUGCCGGAAAUAUAAUUUGUAUCAAACUAGCCAUUUCAUAAGACUCAACCUCAGAGCUGUAUGAAAAAGAACACAAUUGUACGAUACCAUUUUAUUCAUGUUUGAUUA